rnacentral:rRNA from 1 species
UACGUAGGGGGCAAGCGUUGUCCGGAUUUAUUGGGCGUAAAGAGCGUGUAGGCGGCCAGGUAGGUCUGGUGUGAAAACGUCGAGGCUUAACCUCGAGAUGUCAUCGGAAACCAUCUGGCUAGAGUCCGGAAAGAGGAGGAGUGGAAUUCCGUGGUGUAGCGGUGAAAUGCGCAGAUAUCAGGAAGAACACCAAUGGCGAAAGCAGCUCUCUGGGACGGUCACUGACGCGAGGAGCGAAAGCCAGGGGAGCGAAACGGG